UGUUGCCACAGCUGUCCUGGAAAAGACUAACAGAAGCAAAGAUUCCAGACAAAACAACUGGUGCCAUUGGGCCCUCUGACCACCAACUGCAGAAAAAGCAGGAGAAGUGUCUUGCCCAAGGACACAAUAACCCACUGGUUAAACGACGAACUAGCUCCUGCACCACUGUUGUCCUUGAUUGAAGAGGUUGAAGUUAGUUUUCAGGUAAAGCUCAAAGCAUUUUGGGAAUCAAUUCAAAGUAAAACCCUACUUUGUUUGAGGCCUUGCUGUUUUUUAUGUGGUCUGAUAGGAAAUGAGGCAGAGAGACGUGCAGCAAAGUUCUCUGUCCAUGAGGACUCAAGGAUAAGGACACCUGCAUUGAGGAUUGACACCUCUGUGCAUGAAUUACUCACCCUACCCUUGCUAAAUUUCUGCAAACUGAUUUACUCUUUGCUGGACUCAUGAACCUUUAGGAUGUACUCCAUCUCUCACCCAGUCAAUGUUUGAUAUUGGCUCCAGCCUCCCUAGACUCCCUAAGACCAAACUGAUGUAGGCAUUGGAUGGAUGAUAACCCAUCUUUCUAAGAUUACUAAAGGAAAACACGACCAAAAAACAAAAAGCUUGUGAUUAGCUGCUGAGGGCAUAAAGAGAGAGAUAACCAUUGUUAGUGGUCACAACUUUAUAUGUUCUAAAUCCAGAGAUUCAAUUUAAAAAUUUGGAUUUGAACAGGUUAUUUUAAAGGAGUCCAAUCUAAAAGCUAACUAUUACCUGCAUGUUUGAGGUGCUUGUCUAAUUCUGUACAUUAAUGGGGGGAAAGUGACUCCAGUUUGCACAUACUCAUUUGGAGAGUCCACAAUUACUUGGCAAUUUAUAAACGAUCCUAUUCUUCAAAAGUGACUUCAUGACAUAUCAUGGAGGAUGGCUCAUGGGAUUCUGCCGGUCAGGACCGUCAUGCACUCCCAGGACAUGUCAGCUAUAUCUAAGUACUCCCGACCUGGUUGUGGCGCGCCUGAGUCGGUGAGGCACCUGGUCUAAGAGUGCAGUGCUGCCGUAGACCAGUGGGCGAAGCCUGGUUCCUUGCAAUUCCCGUACUUACCAGCAGGGGAGGUCCUUCUUACCAGAGUGGAUUCUUAAUGGGUGAGCUGCAGCACACAAGUUGUAAAGAACACUGUGCCAAGCAUUAGCUCACCCUUGCUGCCAUCAAUGAUACCAUAUAGACCUCCAGAAACUUGCUGGUGAGAAAGCACAAGCAGAUUCCCCCCGUGGCUGUGAUCCAGGUGGCAGAAGCAAAACAAAGCCCGGCACAGCUGCAAGCUGCUGGGAGCAAAGAGAGGACACAGCCACAAAGAAGCAUCGCCUCUGUGCCCAUUCGGACGAAGGAACCAGAGCCACACAGGAAAAGGUCAAAGCAGCAGCGGCCUGGCUCUCCGGGUGAGGCAGGUGGGCAGGAGCAUCAGGGUGGGCAUCCCCUCUGACCAUCAACACUGUUUGCAAGAAUGGGGCGGUUAUUUGAAAUUGUUAAGACAUCACCUCACUCCUGUGUAGAUUUUAAACAUGCAGUGUUACUUUUAAAAUGUUCUAUGGGAAAAUCUCAUACAAACCAUUUUUAAAAAUUAUUUAAAACAUCGACAUUAUGACCAAGGUCUGAGAGACAACCUUGGCCCCAGUUCCUACCUCCUACAUGCCCCAGCAUGCCAAUCAACAAGCUGAGCUUUUAGGAGUUAGCUGUAGCUCUGUUUUCUGCCCUCUGGUUCUAGUAUUUGGAUAUGCAGGGAGGGUGACCUUGUGACAGUCAGCUGCAAGGCUGGUCUGAGGCUUCUUCACUUUUAUUUGUUUUGGUCAAGAUUCCCAGCUCUGUUGGUUUAUUAUGUGAUUAUCAUUUUUCUUUAAAACUAACUUCAACCUCUGCUAUUGGUCAGAACUUUAUAUGUUAUCUGUCCUUUGACCAUCUUUAAUGUAUGGAGAGAAACAGGUUGUUAAAACCUUUCUGCCUCAGGACAUUGAAAACAUCAUGCUUAUGAUACAUAAAAACGCUGAUUACCUCUGUGGCAGACUGGUGAAAUCUCCAGGGUGUAACCUAGCCCCUGACCAAAUGACUACUGGAUAUUACCCACAGCUCAUAAAAUCCUCUUAGUUUGAAGGAUUCUUUAAAGUAGUACAACAAGUCAGUACCACUAUCAUACAGACUUGACAGAUUCUAUGCCGGAUGCACUUCAUGACACAAAAGGGCUUUAAACACCGACACUUCUCAAGAAUCCCCAAAUUGUUCCUCUGGCCACCCUCGUAGUACAAGUGCUCCUCUACAAUGCAAACUUUAUCAACUGUCAGUGCCCCUUUCAAGAUUCACCGAUCCACAACCAGGAUCAGAAGGACAAUAGAAGGCAAUCACUCCCUCCACCAAUCUCCUGCCUAGCUCAACCUGUGUGGAACUACUCACCUCAUCUACACCAAGGUCCACUGUUUCUCCUUCCCUGCAUCCGUUUGAAGACCUUUCUAUCAGAAUCUUCAAGCCGCUCCUCUGGUGGCUCUCCUGGCACAAGAACUCCUCUGUAACUCAUCACUCACUGACCUGCCUGUCCACCCUUCAAUGUUUCACUGAUCAACAACUCCAACAAGGAAAAGAAGCACCAAAGGAGACAUUAAUAACUCCACCAAUCUGGAUAUCCUUGCCUCCUCUGCACCAAUAUUGGACUCCUGCAAACUGUUCCUAAGUCCCUACAUCUGUCUUAAUAACGCUCCUUAAGAACCACCACACUGCUCCUCCAGCAGUCCUCCUGGCUCACCUGCUUGUCCAUUAUUCAACAAUUCACUGAUCAACAACUCCAACCUGGAAAAAAAGGACAAAAGAAGACAAUGACUAACUCCACCAAUGACAAAGCUCCUUCCUAGCUCAACCUGUGUGGAUAUACUCAGCACAUCUGCACCAAGGCGCUUUUUUCUUGAGGCAGACGCCACAUUGUUCACCUCAUACAAGUGUACUCAGAUGCUGGAUUCCAGCGUAUUGUUCCUCAGUCCCUCCAUCUGUUUUGACAACUCUUCUUAAGAACCGCCCUCCUGGCACACCUGCCUGUCCAUCCUUCAGAGAUUCACCAUAGUCACCUUGCCUGCACCACAGGUCUCCUGAGGAAGACUACAGACUGUUCACCUCCUACAAGUGAUUUUCUGGCUGACCUCCUGGAACAAUGGCUCUUCUUUAAAUCAUCGUUCCCUCACCUCCUGGUGAACCCUCCAACAUUUCACAGAGCCACAACUCACACCUUGACAAGAAAGACCAAAGACACUUGUCAUCUCCACCAAUCUCCUGCCUAACUCAACCAGUGUGGAUAAAGUCGUCUUGUCUGCACCAGCUUUGGAGAUCGCCGACAAUUUUAAAAUCUUGCCACGUGAACCAGCCUUUAUACCUCAGACUUCCAGUACCAGACACACUUCUGUAAUCUGCAGAAAUACUCAGAUGACUUUACAGUCAUUGGACGCAUCAGAGAUGGACAGGAAGCUGAGUCCAGGGAGCUGAUGGACCGCUUUGUGGCAUGGUGUGGAAACAAUCAUCUCAUUCUAAAUGUGUAUAAAACUAAGGCGAUGAUUGUAGAUUUCAGGAGAAACUGGAGUAGUAACAAUACUAUUAGCAUCUUGGG